rfam:Eubacterium sp. CAG:202 genomic scaffold, scf159
UGAGUGUAUUGAACAGCUGCGGGAAAUUGCCGAAAGGCGUUUUGCGAGGAAAGUCCGGGCUUCACAGAGCAAAAAUAACGGCUAACGGCCGCCGGAGGCGACUCCAGGGAUAGUGCAACAGAAAAUUACCGCCACUUUUGUGGUAAGGAUGGAAAGGUGAGGUAAGAGCUCACCGGAGAUAGCGAGAGUUAUCUGCCGUGUAAACCCUAUUUGAAGCAACACCGUGGUAGGACAUUAUACGCUUGCUCGGCGUGUCCUUAGGAGGUGGCAUUGAGCAGUUCCGGCAACGGGCUGCCAAGAUAGAUAGCUGUUCACGACAGAACCCGGCUUACAGAUACAGUCAUAUU